AGUGAACGCUGGCGGUAGGCCUAACACAUGCAAGCCGAACGGCAGCACCGUAAGAGCUUGCUCUUACGGGUGGCGAGUGGCGGACGGGUGAGGAAUACAUCGGAAUCUACUUUUUCGUGGGUGAUAACGUAGGGAAACUUACGCUAAUACCGCAUACGACCUACGUGUGAAAGCAGGGGAUCUUCGGACCUUGCGCGAUUGAAUGAGCCGAUGUCGGAUUAGCUAGUUGGCGGGGUAAAGGCCCACCAAGGCGACGAUCCGUAGCUGGUCUGAGAGGAUGAUCAGACAGACUGGAACUGAGAAAGGGUCCAGACUCCUACGGGAGGCAGCAGUGGGGAAUAUUGGACAAUGGGCGCAAGCCUGAUCCAGCCAUACCGCGUGGGUGAAGAAGGCCUUCGGGUUGUAAAGCCCUUUUGUUGGGAAAGAAAAGCAGCAGGUUAAUACCCCGCUGUUCUGACGGUACCCAAAGAAUAAGCACCGGCUAACUUCGUG
rnacentral:rRNA from 1 species